rnacentral:rRNA from 1 species
UGGGGAAUAUUGGACAAUGGGCGAAAGCCUGAUCCAGCAAUGCCGCGUGAGUGAUGAAGGCCCUAGGGUUGUAAAGCUCUUUUACCAGGGAUGAUAAUGACAGUACCUGGAGAAUAAGCUCCGGCUAACUCCGUGCCAGCAGCCGCGGUAAUACGGAGGGAGCUAGCGUUGUUCGGAUAUACUGGGCGUAAAGCGCACGUAGGCGGCGCCGUAAGUCAGGGGUGAAAUCCCGGAGCUCAACUCCGGAACUGCCCUUGAAACUGCAGUGCUAGAAUUCUGGAGAGGCGAGUGGAAUUCCGAGUGUAGAGGUGAAAUUCGUAGAUAUUCGGAAGAACACCAGUGGCGAAGGCGACUCGCUGGACAGACAUUGACGCUGAGGUGCGAAAGCGUGGGGAGCAAA